UAGUCUAACAAUUUCCUACCACCUUCCCACCUCCACCUUUUCACAAACACUAGGCUCUCAAAAAUCUCCCCAUCAACAUCGGGUCCCAACGAUGACGUAUCCACUACGUUCCAUAACCUAAUCCCAAACCAAACUUCCACUCUUCUUCAUUUUCAUCGCCAAACCAAACUUAAAAAAAACCCAAAAAUACCCCUCCGAUCUCCGAUGGCGAAUAUUCCCCCGGAAAUAUUCAUCGACAUACUCUCCCUUUUACCACCACACCCCCUUCUCCGAUUCCGAUCAACCUCAAAAUCACUUAAAUCCAUAAUCGAUUCUCACACCUUCACCAACCUCCAUCUCAAAAACUCCAACAAUUUCUACCUCAUCAUCCGCCACAACGCAAAUCUCUACCAACUCGAUUUUCCUAACCUCACCCCCCCAAUCCCACUCAACCACCCUCUCAUGUCUUACAGCAACCGCAUCACUCUCUUCGGUUCAUGCAACGGUCUCAUCUGUAUCUCUAACAUCGCCGACGAUAUCGCUUUCUGGAACCCUAACAUCCGUAAACAUCGGAUCAUCCCUUAUCUUCCUACUACUCCUCGCUCUGAAUCUGAUACGACUCUCUUCGCUGCUCGUGUUCAUGGAUUUGGUUACGAUUCUUUUGCUGGAGAUUAUAAACUUGUUAGAAUCUCUUAUUUUGUUGAUUUACAGAACCGUAGCUUUGAUUCGCAGGUUAGAGUUUUUAGCUUGAAGAUGAAUUCAUGGAAAGAGCUUCCUAGUAUGAAUUAUGCUCUUUGUUGUGCUAGAACUAUGGGUGUUUUUGUUGAAGAUUCGAAUAAUUUGAAUUCAAAUUCUCUUCAUUGGGUUGUGACAAGGAAACUCGAACCGUUUCAACCUGAUUUAAUAGUUGCGUUUAACUUAACACUAGAGAUUUUCAAUGAAGUUCCACUUCCUGAAAUAGGUGAAGUUAAUAAUGAGAGUGAGAGUUUUGAAAUCGAUGUUGCGGUUUUGGGAGGGUGUCUUAGUAUGAUUGUGAAUUAUCAAACUACUCAAAUUGAUGUUUGGGUGAUGAAAGAAUAUGGAUUAAAAGAUAGUUGGUGUAAAUUGUUUACUUUGGUGGGACUCUUUUUUCCGACACCUUUGAAAUCGUUGAGGCCUUUAGGUUAUUCGAGUGAUGGAAAGAAGGUUUUAUUGGAAAUAGAUCGUAAGAAGCUGUUUUGGUACGAUCUCAAGAGUGAAAACGUUACUAGUGUUCCAGGAAUUCCUAAUAUGAAUGAAGCUAUGAUUUGUGUUGGUAGUCUUGUACCACCUUCUUUACCUGUUGAUAAUUGUAGGAAGGAGAAUUUACACAAAUUGAGAUGUGAAAGUAUAAGCAAGAGAAGGUACUUGUUGUUUAUCUGAGUCUUUGCUGUGUAUAAGCUAUAUCCGUUCAAUGAACCCAUCAUAUGAUAUAUGUACUUAAACUCUAUAUUAAAGGUCAAAUGGAAUUCUUAUUAUAGGACAAGGAGUCUCUAAUUACUUUGAAGUCUAUACCUUUGUUUAUGUAUAUGUAUCUGAGCAUGUGUGUAUGUUGAAUUUCAAUUGACCAAGUGCGAAUGCUGAAUUUCAAAAGAAACAAAACAGACAACUGUGUAUGUUAUGUGUCGGUUUAAGAGUUGACCUUGUGACUAGCUGAAGUCCACCCUCCUCUCUUGGGGGGGUUUAUACCAAAGGAUCUGCAGGAUUCCUUUUCUUAAAAGUUAGCUUAAAGAAAGAACCUUGGGAUGACUUCUUGUCCCAAGGAUUUAAAUUGUCAUUGUAAGGGAGUGAUAGAAGAACCAGGGAUGUGUAGCUGAAGCCGGAUACUCAAGUUGUUUCUAAGCGACGGAAUGAGUCACCUUGGUUAGCGGGAAGAGUUGAAUUGAUAAGGAAUGUAGCUCCAUCCAUUUGUAUCUCUCUUCUUGAGUGGUGUGACACCACACUUCUCUCAUGUAAAAAUCUCACAUGAGGGGAUCCAUUCCCGGUGGAAUCGAAUCGUGAAUGGGGAUGACCUAUGGUGGAAGAAAGGCCUACUGAAGUGCCACAAAGAUCUCAAAGCCAGAAUAGAAUAUGGUAGAUGAAGAAAAAGGAAAUUGAAGACCAGAUGUACAUGUCUUCUUUUCUUUCCUUUUAUUUGGUUUAAUUGCGAGAAUCCUGCGAUAGUUGUUAUAUGCAAUACAAAAAAUAAAUUGGUGUGUUUGUCGUCUAGGUUUAACAAAGUGUUGAGAAAUGGCUUAUAUGUCGUUAAGUUGUAAAAAGUGUUGAAACAAUUUAUAAUCUGUGUGAUUUUGUAUGUAUGAAUGUUAGUCUAACUUUAUAGUCAUCUGUAAUAAAACUUUUACAUUAGUCCAACCUUACAUGAAUUGUAUUUUUGCUUUAUAAUAUGUGAAAACUCUUGGCAACCAGCCUAGUUAUGUAUUAA